GAUGAACGCUAGCGGCAGGCCUAAUACAUGCAAGUCGAGGGAGAUUGUUGGAUUCGUCUGACAUGAAACCGGCGCACGGGUGCGUAACACGUAUGCAACCUACCUUUAACUGGGGUAUAGCUCAGAGAAAUCUGAAUUAAUCCCCCAUAAGACUACGACAUGGCAUCAUGAUGUAGUUAAAGCUCCGGCGGUUAAGGAUGGGCAUGCGGUACAUUAGCUAGUUGGUGAGGUAAUGGCUCACCAAGGCUAC
rnacentral:rRNA from 1 species